rnacentral:rRNA from 1 species
UCGAACGAGCCUUCGGGCUAGUGGCGGACGGGUGAGUAACGCGUGAGAAUCUGCCCUCAGGAGGGGGAUAACGGCUGGAAACGGCCGCUAAUACCCCAUAUGCCGCGAGGUGAAAUGAGAAAUCGCCUGAGGAUGAGCUCGCGUCUGAUUAGCUAGUUGGUGGGGUAAGAGCCUACCAAGGCAUCGAUCAGUAGCUGGUCUGAGAGGAUGAUCAGCCACACUGGGACUGAGACACGGCCCAGACUCCUACGGGAGGCAGCAGUGGGGAAUUUUCCGCAAUGGGCGCAAGCCUGACGGAGCAACGCCGCGUGAGGGAUGAAGGCCUCUGGGCUGUAAACCUCUUUUCUCAAGGAAGAAGAACUGACGGUACUUGAGGAAUAAGCCACGGCUAAUUCCGUGCCAGCAGCCGCGGUAAUACGGGAGUGGCAAGCGUUAUCCGGAAUUAUUGGGCGUAAAGCGUCCGCAGGCGGUCUUGAAAGUCUGUUGUUAAAGCGUGGAGCUCAACUCCAUUUCAGCAAUGGAAACUAGAAGACUAGAGUGUGGUAGGGGCAGAGGGAAUUCCCGGUGUAGCGGUGAAAUGCGUAGAUAUCGGGAAGAACACCAGUGGCGAAGGCGCUCUGCUGGGCCAUAACUGACGCUCAUGGACGAAAGCCAGGGGAGCGAAAGGGAUUAGAUACCCCUGUAGUCCUGGCCGUAAACGAUGAACACUAGGUGUCGGGGGAAUCGACCCCCUCGGUGUCGUAGCCAACGCGUUAAGUGUUCCGCCUGGGGAGUACGCACGCAAGUGUGAAACUCAAAGGAAUUGACGGGGGCCCGCACAAGCGGUGGAGUAUGUGGUUUAAUUCGAUGCAACGCGAAGAACCUUACCAGGGUUUGACAUCCUGCGAAUCUUUUGGAAACAGAAGAGUGCCUUCGGGAGCGCAGAGACAGGUGGUGCAUGGCUGUCGUCAGCUCGUGUCGUGAGAUGUUGGGUUAAGUCCCGCAACGAGCGCAACCCACGUCUUUAGUUGCCAGCAUUGAGUUGGGCACUCUAGAGAGACCGCCGGUGAUAAACCGGAGGAAGGUGUGGAUGACGUCAAGUCAUCAUGCCCCUUACAUCCUGGGCUACACACGUACUACAAUGCUACGGACAGAGGGCAGCAAACUCGCGAGAGCUAGCAAAUCCCAUAAACCGUGGCUCAGUUCAGAUCGUAGGCUGCAACUCGCCUACGUGAAGGAGGAAUCGCUAGUAAUCGCAGGUCAGCAUACUGCGGUGAAUACGUUCCCGGGCCUUGUACACACCGCCCGUCACACCAUGGAAGUUGGCCAUGCCCGAAGUCGUUACUCCAACCCUUGUGGAGGAGGACGCCGAAGGUGGGGCUGAUGACUGGG